rnacentral:rRNA from 1 species
CAGUAGCCGCGGUAAUACGAAGGGGCUAGCGUUGCUCGGAAUGACUGGGCGUAAAGGGCGCGUAGGCGGCGAUCAAAGUCAGGCGUGAAAUUCCUGGGCUCAACCUGGGGGCUGCGUUUGAUACUUGAUUGCUAGAGUGGGGAAGAGGGUCGUGGAAUUCCCAGUGUAGAGGUGAAAUUCGUAGAUAUUGGGAAGAACACCGGUGGCGAAGGCGGCGACCUGGUCCUUGACUGACGCUGAGGCGCGAAAGCGUGGGGAGCAAACAGGAUUAGAUACCCCUGUAGUCCCUGUCUCUUAUACA